rfam:TPA: Bos taurus chromosome 1, whole genome shotgun sequence.
UUGCAGGCAGCUCAGUGGUAAAGCAUCUGCCUGCCAAGCAGGAGACAUGGGUUUGAUCCCUGGCUUGGGAA